rnacentral:ncRNA from 1 species
AAUUUAAAUAAAAAUUUUAAUUUUAAAUUUUUUAUUAAUUAUUAUGAUUAAAAUAUAUAUAAAAUUAUUUAUAAAAAUUUUUUUUUAUUUAAUAUAAAAUAUUAAAAUAUUAAUGUUAAUUAUAUUUAGUAAUUUAUAUAGUAAUAAUUAAAAAUGUGCCAGCAAUAGCGGUUAAACAUUAAUUACAAAUUAAUAAAUUUUAACUUUAAUUAAAAGUUGAUUAAUUUUUGAAUAUUAUAAAUUUUAAUGUAAAAUUAAAUUUAUAUAAUUUAAAAUUAUUUAAUUAUUUAAAUUUUUUUAAUAAAAAUUUUUAAUAAACUAGGAUUAGAUACCCUAUUAUUAAAUUUAAAUUUAUAGUUAAAUUAUUAAAUGUAAAUUCAUUAAAAUUUAAAAUUUGACGGUAUUUUAUUCUUUUUAGAGGAAUUUGUUUUAUAAUUGAUAAUCCACAAUAAGAUAAACUUAAUUUUUUUUUUAUGUAUGUUUGUUAAAAGAAUUUUUUUUAAAAAUAAAUUCUUAAUUUUAUAAUUUUAAAAAUAUUUCAGAUCAAUAUAUAAUUAUAAUUAAGAAAAUAAUGAAUUAUAUUUUAUUUAAUAAUAAAAAUUUUAUUUUAAUAUAAAAUUUAAUGUUUGAAUUUAAUAGUAAAAUUAAUUAAUUAAUUAAUUUGAAAUAGUUUAAAAUAUGUACAAAUUGCCCGUCACUUUCAUUAAAUUUGAAAUAAGUCGUAACAAAGUAAAUGUACUGGAAAGUGUAUUUAAUU